UACGUAGGGGGCAAGCGUUGUCCGGAAUCAUUGGGCGUAAAGAGCGCGUAGGCGGUCCGGUAAGUCCGCUGUGAAAGUCAAGGGCUCAACCCUUGAAUGCCGGUGGAUACUGUCGGGCUAGAGUCCGGAAGAGGCGAGUGGAAUCCUGGUGUAGCGGUGAAAUGCGCAGAUAUCAGGAGGAACACCAAUGGCGAAGGCAGCUCGCUGGGACGGUAACGACGCUGAGGCGCUGAAAGCGUGGGGAGCAAA
rnacentral:rRNA from 1 species